rnacentral:sRNA from 1 species
GCUGCAGAAUUUCGGCAUUCAGCGUUCGAACGCGCUCAAAUGCACGAGCAAACUCU